CGGGCGCGGUGCCGGGCUAAGUCCCUUGGAACGGGGCGUCAUAGAGGGUGAGAAUCCCGUAUGUGCCCGGCAAUCUAGCCCAUGUGAAGCUCCUUCGACGAGUCGAGUUGUUUGGGAAUGCAGCUCAAAAUGGGUGGUAAAUUUCAUCUAAAGCUAAAUACUGGCCAGAGACCGAUAGCGCACAAGUAGAGUGAUCGAAAGAUGAAAAGCACUUUGGAAAGAGAGUCAAACAGUACGUGAAAUUGUUGAAAGGGAAGCGCUUGCGACCAGACCUGCCCGCGGGCGAUCAGCCGUCCCCUGGGGGCGGUGCACGCGCCCGCGAACAGGCCAGCAUCGGUUCGGGCGGCCGGAUAAAGGCCCUGGGAACGUAGCUCCUCUCGGGGAGUGUUAUAGCCCAGGGCGCCAUGCGGCCCGCCGGGACCGAGGACCGCGCUUCGGCUAGGAUGCUGGCGUAAUGGUUGCAAGCGGCCCGUCUUGAAACACGGACCAAGGAGUCUAACAUCUAUGCGAGUGUUUGGGUGUCAAACCCAUGCGCGUAAUGAAAGUGAACGGAGGUGGGAACCCGAGGGCGCACCAUCGACCGAUCCUGAUGUCUUCGGAUGGAUUUGAGUACGAGCAUAACUGUUGGGACCCGAAAGAUGAUGAACUAUGCCUGAAUAGGGUGAAG
rnacentral:rRNA from 1 species